GACGUAGGAUGCGAGCGUUGUUCGGAUUUAUUGGGCGUAAAGCGUGCGUAGGCGGUCACUUAAGUCUGGUGUUAAAGCUAGAGGCUCAACCUCCGUGUUGCACUGGAUACUGGGUGACUUGAGUGCGGUAGGGGAAGGUAGAAUUCCGAGUGUAGCGGUGAAAUGCGUAGAUAUUCGGAAGAAUACCGGUGGCGAAGGCGACCUUCUGGGCCGCAACUGACGCUGAGGCACGAAAGCGUGGGGAGCAAACGGG
rnacentral:rRNA from 1 species